rnacentral:tRNA from 1 species
GAGUGUAUAGCUCAAAUGGCAGAGUGCAUGCUUUGCAUGCAUGAAGUCAUGGGUUCAGUCCCCAGUAUCA